AAGCUGCAGCUGUGACUUAUGCCACAGCUGCAGCAAUGCCAGAUCUUUAACCCACUGAGCCAUAGCAGGAAUUCCUAUUCUUUCUUAUUGAAUUAUUUUCUUUCUUCUAUUUAUUCCUAAUAUAAAAGCAUCAUAUAUUAAGCCUGAUUUCCAUGUCUUGGCUGUUGAAAAUAGCACUGCAAUGAACAUCGGAGUACAUAUGUCUUUGUAGGUCAUGGUUUUCUCUGGAGAGAUGCCCAGGGGUGGAUUGCUGAAUCAAAUGGUACUUCUAUUUUUAGUUUUCUGAGGAAUCUCCAUACCGUUUUCCACAGUGGUUGUACCAAUUUACAAUUCCACCAACAGUGUAAUAGGGUUCCUUUUUCUCCACACCUUCUCCAGCACUUACUGUUUGUAGAUUUUUGGAUGAUGGCUAUUCUGGCUGGUGUAAGGUGGUACCUCCUAGUGGCUUUGAUUUGCAUUUCUCUAAUAAGGAGUGAUGUUGAACAUCUUUUCAUGUGCUUUUUGGCCAUCUGUAUGUCUUUGGAGAACUUCUGUUUAGAUCUUCUGCCCAUUUUUGGAUGGGGUUGUUUGUUUUUUUGGUAUGGAGCUGCAGAAGUUGUUUAUAAAUUUUGGAGAUGAAUCCCUUGUCCAUUGAUUCACUUGCAAAGAUCUUCUCCCAUUCUGUGGGUUGUCUUUUCAUUUUAUUUAGGGUUUCCUUUGCUGUGCAGAAACUUUUAAGUUUGAUUAGGAAACAAUCAAAUGUCCAUUGACAGAGGAGUGGAACAAGAAGAGGUGGUACAUACACACAAUGGAAUAUUACUCAGCCAUUAAAAUGAAUGAAAUAUCAGCAUUUUUAGCCACAUGGAUGGACCUAAAAAUUAUCAUGCUAAGCAAAGCCGGCCAUACGAUGAGACACCAACAUCAAAUGCUUUCACUGACAUGUGGAAUCUGAAAAAAGGACAGAAUGAACUUCUUUGCAGAACAGAUGCUGACUCACAGACAUUGAAAAACUUUUUGUCUCCAAGGAGACAGUUUCGGGGGUGGGGGAUGUGCUUGGGUUGUGGAUGGAAAUCCUGUGAAAUUGGAUUGUGAUGAUCAUUAUACAACUACCAAUGUGAUAAAUUCAUUGAAUAAUAAUAAAAAAUUUAAAAAGAACAUAUUGGAUAAACAAAACAAAGCAAAAAAUACAGUUCCAGCUCAGAAGAGGAUAUGAUUAACUCUGUCCUGAAAAGGGUGGGACCAGGGAAUCUUUCACACAGAUGCAUGAUCUAAGUGUUAAGGACAAAUAGGCAAGAAAAAGAGCGAUGGUUCAGGGACAGAGCACAGAGUAGAAAAAGCCCAAGGGCAUCUUCGUUGGCUACAGAUUCCUAUACCAGUGAUUACUAAUGCAAUAUUCAUGAGUGGAAUGGAGAUGUAGAAAGGUCAGAGCAGAACAAGCACUGUAUUGCUAUUGGCAAAGUGUGUGCUGUUUCCAAAGACAAGUGUCCUGCUGCUGUCGGCACUGUUACAGCGGAAGGUGAGGCAGCCGCGGGGAUGGCACCAAGCCAAUCCACGCUGAUGGAGAGACUUCUCUGUCCUAAAAAUGAUGAUACUAAAUGAUUAAUUUUUAUCAGUAUCAUUUCUAUUCAUUAUAAAAGCCAUUUGACAUGGCACAAAUCAGAGCAAGGCUGUGUUGCAGAACAUUUUUCUCACAAAUAUUUACUGCAAGGAGGAUGGAGUCUUCAUCAUGAGUUACACCAACCCCUGAUGCUGGGGAUGAGGUCCACCCCCCCCUCCCGAAGCACAUGGCUGCACAAGAUCAGAUUCUGUCAACAAAGAGCAAGGAGGAAAUGGUUGGGCAGGCACUUAAUAAUGUCACUAGAGAGUGAAUAAGAAUAUUAAAAAAAAAAGAAGGGAAAAAAAAGAAUAUGAAGGGACCAUCAGAUUGACAUUUACAUAUAGUACAAAUGAGGCAUCUAUGUUCUAAUGAGGAAGGAACAUUGUAUAUUUUCUUUCUCGUGCAGGUCAUUCAUAUAAUGCUUUGCAAAGAACUUUUUGUUGGUUUUCAUUUUGUUUUACUGUACCUUUGUCUAUAACUUCAAAACAGUGCUUUAUAAAUAUUAGUGCUUUUAGAUUUCAAUUCGUCAACUGCAAGAUGCAGGAGAUUUAAAUUUGCCUUCAUCCAUUCAACAUCUGAAUACCUGCAGAAGGCAAAAGAAUUUGUUUUCUGGUAGUCAUUUCUUUAAUUAGAAAUGGUGAAUACCCUGAUCACCUAUGUGGGAAAAGAAUCUGAGAAUGGAUAUAUGCAUAUGUACAACGGAUUCGCUUUGCUCUACAUCUGAAGCUAACACAACAUUGUAAGUCAACUAUACUCCAAUAAAAAAAUUUUAAAUGGUAAAUAAAAAUGUUUCUUUUGGAACAGAAGAUUAGAAGCCACCAGGGUUCUUGCAAGACCUCCAAUAGAGCCACCUAUUCAGUCUGGAUCACCUGUUUAUCUGUGGACUAUUAUGUGAGAAAUAAAGAAAUAUCUAUCUUCUUUGAGGAACUUUUUUUGUUUAGUUUUGCUUUUUGGCUACAUCCGCAGCAUGCGCAAGUUCCCACUGCAGUGACAACACCAGAUCCUUGAUGCACUGAACCACAAGAGAACUCCUGAGGGACUGUAUUUUGGAGUCUAUUUAUUGCAACAGCCUGCCUUAACUAGCAGACUCAGAGCUAUUUUGGAAGUGGGGGGAAAAUCUUCCAAUUUUGUCACAAGAAACUACAAUUUAGAAUUUUGUAUAAAGUCUACAGGUCUUUCUAAAGAAAAGUUGAUUGUUAAUCAAAUAUUAUUUGAAGCUCUGUCUAGGUGAAAAUGGUGGAUUACCACUGCCCAUUUUAGCAUCGACUCUUGUCUCUGAAAUUUCUUGGCUGUAUGACUAGAUGCUUCUCUGUCUGUGACUUAUGUUUUCCCUCUACCACAGGUACUGCAAUAUUUUCAGGCAGGCAGAGGGAGGAUCCCUGGCUAACCUUUAAAAGGAGAGGUGAAAUGUAGAUCAUGCACCCUUUUUAUAAAGAGACUAAUUUAUCUGGUGAAAGUACUACGGAGCAUUCGGUUCUUUAAAUCAAAGAUGUAGAUCAAGGCUGAUAGAAAUGCAUCCUACAGAUGAAGAAUGCUGAGUGGAUUCGAUGAGUUAAUACAUGUAGGACUUAGAACAGUAGUGGCAAAUGGUAAAUGUGCACUUAAGUUUGGAUAUUAGUAUUAUGCCACUUGUCCAAGGUCACAACUACUAAGUGAAGGCAUAGAUGCACCUCCUACACUGACCUUUCAUGUUUCAGUUUGUUUACACAUUUUCGUCUGUUUUUUUGUUCCACAUCUUUUUUUUUUUUUGUCUUUUGUCUUUUGUCUUUUUAGGGCUGCACCCAAGGCACAUGGAGGUUUCCAGGCUAGGGGUCUAAUCGGAGCUGUUGCUGCCGGCCUACACCACAGCAACAGCAAUGCCAGAUCCGAGCCACAUCUGUGAGCUACACCACUGCUCACGGCAACGCCGGAUCCUUAACCCACUGAGCGAGGCCAGAGAUCAAACCCACAACCUUAUGGUUCUAGUCGGAUUCG
rnacentral:lncRNA from 1 species